AUAUCUAUGGUGUGGGCACUGAAAUAAAAAUGACUUAAAGCGAUCUCACACUUCAUGAAAAGAUUCAGUAUCCUUUUGAUAAAAACUUAGAAUUCGAGCUCUGAAUUC
rfam:Ricinus communis cultivar Hale ctg_1100012351598, whole genome shotgun sequence.